GCGCCGAUGGUGUAAGGCGCAGCAUCGUGCCCGAAAAGCAGAAGGUGCGGGUUCGAGUCCCGCAUGGCGCA
rnacentral:tRNA from 1 species